AUAUAUAAAUGUGAGCAAUUUGAAAUGAGGCGUCAUCUGACCAAGAACACGAGAAUAGCUGCAAAAUGGCUUCGGCUUAAAAUCAGGUCAAGAAUUCUGAAUAAACUUUGUUCCUCAUUUGCAUUGCUCUUCAAUUGUGGAAUUCAACUUCAUCUGAAGCAAAUUGUGAUCAGAAAUAAGAACCUGAAGAAAAGGGGGCAGAAAAUGAUUGCAGGCUUAGCUAGUGGAAGCUGCUUUCGGCCAAAAGUCGUAAAUGUGCAUAGAAGGCACCAAUUUCGUGGUUUGAAUAGGGAGAGUUCAUACAUUGGGGGAAACUGGCCCUGCCAAAAGAAAAAGAUUGCUUGUAGCAAUUCGGAGUUAGAGAAUGUAUCUUCGAGCCUUGAACAUCAUAGAAAGUACAAGGUUCUUGUUAAGAUGUGCGGUAUUGCAUCGGCGAAAGAUGCAGCUUUGGCAGCAGAAGCUGGUGCUGAUUUCAUUGGGAUGAUUAUUUGGCCAAACUCAAAGCGUUCUGUUUCACUCUCAGUUGCCAAGGAGAUAUCCAGAAUUGCUAGACAAAAUGGUGCACAGCCUGUUGGAGUGUUUGUUGAUGAUGAUGUUGAAACAAUAUCACUGGCCGCUGAUACAUGUGAGCUUGAACUUGUGCAGCUUCAUGGAGACAGUUCGCGGGCAGCAUUGCCACUUCUAGCCAAAGACUAUAGAAUUAUUUAUGUUUUGAAUGCAAAUGAAGAUGGAAGUCUUCGCAAUGAGAUCUCAACUGAGGACUGUUCUUUGGUCGAUUGGGUUCUUGUUGACAGUGCCAAAGGUGGCAGUGGGAAGGGAUUCAAUUGGGCCCAGUUUGAGGUACCAAUAAUUAGAAGCAAACAUGGUUGGCUCUUGGCUGGAGGGAUCAAUCCAGAAAACGUGUCUCAAGCCCUAUCCAUUCUGAAGCCUCAAGGGGUUGAUGUUAGCAGUGGAAUUUGUGGAUCAGAUGGGAUUCAGAAGGAUCUUAUUCGAAUCAAAUCCUUUUUGAAGGCUGUUCGUUCAGUAAAAUAUUGAUCAACAAAUGUCUCGGUCUUGUUGCUUCGAUCAAGAAAGGUCGGGGUCGCUCUGAUAAUAUACAAUGUCCCCAGUAUCGCUCACAAAGUGAUCUCUUUUCAUGCUUUUUACAAGAACUCCAAAUAAGUGCAAUGGGAGAGGCCAAGAUUUCUCUGGUUCCCGAUGCAGGGUAGAGAAGGAUACUCACUGCCUCUACCAAGUGAUAGUGUGGGAUCUGAGGGAAGAGAUGGUGAAUGACAUGAGUUCCAAUG